AACAUAAAUUAUUUUAGAUUGGGAUCAAAUGUAAAAUGUGGCAUUUUAAAGUUAAUUUGUAGAAGCAAGGAAUUACUUUUACCACCCGGAUAUUCAAUGAUUCAGGAUAUUGUCAGAAUUAUUAUAUUUGGAAUGACAAAAGACGUUACUUCAGAUGGUGGACAAAAAUCAAACUUUUGUGAGAGUAAAAUAAAUCCUGAUUGUGAUAUCGAAAACAAGCUUGAAAAUUCAUUUAAUUUUAUAGAUUGGUUGAUAAAUCCAAAGAAAAUUUUACAAAACUCAUAAAUGAAAAACUUGUGUAGUGAUAUUAAAAAAAAUAUUUAAAAUUAAAUGCAGAAAUAAGGAUGCGUUUACAUCACUCAACGAGUUGAAUCUGUACGGAUUGAAAAUGGCUGUUCUUUUUUCCGUUUGGCAUCCAAAAACCAUUAUGUAUUGCCCGUGGACAACGCCAAUUAAUUUUUGAAGGUGCCAAAUCAUUUUGUUAGGCUUCUAACAGUGCAGUCAUUGUGGCCUCGAAAAAAUGUUCUCUAAACAUCCCUAAACCACAGGAAAUUUAUGACCCUUAACGGUCCAAAGCAAAAAUUUGUGUCGAUAAGCAAGCUAAACAAGAAAGCAUUCUUCCAUUGUUUCAAAAUAAGCAAAAAGCUUUGACACCUCCGAACAAAUUUUGGGAACCAUUUCCGUAGACAAAAAUGGGCAGACGUUCCAUUUUCUUAGUAAUAUUUUUAAAAACACUUCCAUUCAAUCUGGACUUCAUUCUGGAUUGUCGGAUUGAACUCCGUGAAAUCGAUAAUGAAUAAGAAUAAUUGCGACCAAGUGUGGCAGUAAAAUCAAGUCACCAGUGAGACAAGACGACAGCAUGAUAAUCGGGAUAAGUAAGACAAAGCGGCGAGUUAAUCACGUAACUAAAUUGCAUGACCUAAGCUCUGCUAAGCCGAUUAUACCUAGGCAACCACCAGCAGCUAAGAUGUCAGAGAUAAGAGUCAAGCGAUAAAAGACGGAAGAAAGUUGGUUUACGUUGAAUCCGCCAGCAGUUCCGGUACAGCAACAACCAGCUUACGUACUAGUUUGGAACCCGCCUUUCACCCUGCCAUUAUUAGGAUUCUUUCUCUUUGAACAGCUCUUUACCACCAGUCGGACCCAUGCAGGAACCAACCAUCAAAUCACCAGCUAUUUUGUUGCCACCCCACACAAUUGUGUGAACAUCCGCAUUCACGGGACACAAAUGUGUCACAAUUUUUAUGAAAGUAACAGAUAAAAGAAAUGAAAACUACAAGGAUAUUUCAUUUCUUGGACUUUCACUUAGAUUUCUUUCCGAUUAACCUUGGUUAAAAGGUUUCAUCGAAAUACAAACCAUACAAACAGACGAUAUAACAAGAAAAGGUCAAGAGCAAUAUGGAAACAUUUUUGCUGAUCAAUUUAUCGUGAAAUGCCUACGGCCUCAUAACCAAUCUUUUCUGAAUUAUGUUAGACCAUGUCUUAUACAUAUGCAAUUUUUGCUGCAUUCUAGUUACCAAUUCCAUGUAA